GACGAACGCUGGCGGCGUGCCUAAUACAUGCAAGUCGAACGCAGUGGGGACGGGUGAGUAACACGUGGGUAACCUCCCAUCAGAGGGGAUACCACUUGGAAACACGUGCUAAACCGAUACUGCUGGAUGGAACCGGGGUGCAUUAGCUAGUUGGUGGGGUAACGGCUCACCAAGGCCACGAGGCGUAGCUGACCUGAGAGGGUGAUCGGCCACACUGGAACUGAGACACGGCCCAGACUCCUACGGUAGGCAGCAGUAGGGAAUAUUGGGCAAUGGACGAAAGUCUGACCGAGCAAGGCCGCGUGUGUGAAGAAGGUUUUCGGAUCGUAAAGCUCUGUUGGUGGAGAAGCGGUAUCUAACGAGGAAGCAACGGCUAACUACGUGCCAGCAGCCGCGGUAAUUC
rnacentral:rRNA from 1 species